rnacentral:lncRNA from 1 species
AACAAGUAUCAAAUCCAAUUGAUCAAAUGUGAAUCAAGUCAUCAUCAAUCAAUGCCAAAACAGAAAAGAAAUGAAAAUUACAAGUCAACAAUAAUUUUUUGGUAUUUUUUGUGUCGCAUCCGCGAAAAACAACCGGCGGGAAAAACAAACAAACAGAGACGCCACCGUGCGUUAUUUAUCCCAAAGGAGGGAAAGGAAACGCUCGAAGUAAACCUGGAAAGGAAAUGGUCUUACGACCGGAGAUUACAAGGAUCGGGAGUCGGUUACGCAAGGGGAAGGUAUUAGCAAGGGAAAGGAAACGCUCGAAGUAAACCUGGAAAGGAAAUGGUCUUACGACCGGAGAUUACAAGGAUCGGGAGUCGGUUACGCAAGGGGAAGGUAU